AUGAACGCUGGCGGCGUGCCUAAUACAUGCCAGUCGAGCGAACGGACGAGAAGCUUGCUUCUCUGAUGUUAGCGGCGGACGGGUGAGUAACACGUGGAUAACCUACCUAUAAGACUGGGAUAACUUCGGGAAACCGGAGCUAAUACCGGAUAAUAUUUUGAACCGCAUGGUUCAAAAGUGAAAGACGGUCUUGCUGUCACUUAUAGAUGGAUCCGCGCUGCAUUAGCUAGUUGGUAAGGUAACGGCUUACCAAGGCAACGAUGCAUAGCCGACCUGAGAGGGUGAUCGGCCACACUGGAACUGAGACACGGUCCAGACUCCUACGGGAGGCAGCAGUAGGGAAUCUUCCGCAAUGGGCGAAAGCCUGACGGAGCAACGCCGCGUGAGUGAUGAAGGUCUUCGGAUCGUAAAACUCUGUUAUUAGGGAAGAACAUAUGUGUAAGUAACUGUGCACAUCUUGACGGUACCUAAUCAGAAAGCCACGGCUAACUACAUG
rnacentral:rRNA from 1 species